UGGUGAUAGAAAAAAAAAAAUACAAGGUUUCCGUAGGUGAACCUGCGGAAGGAUCAUUACAGUAUUCUUUUGCCAGCGCUUAACUGCGCGGCGAAAAACCUUACACACAGUGUCUUUUUGAUACAGAACUCUUGCUUUGGUUUGGCCUAGAAAUAGGUUGGGCCAGAGGUUUAACAAAACACAAUUUAAUUAUUUUUAUUGAUAGUCAAAUUUUGAAUUAAUCUUCAAAACUUUCAACAACGGAUCUCUUGGUUCUCGCAUCGAUGAAGAACGCAGCGAAAUGCGAUAAGUAAUAUGAAUUGCAGAUUUUCGUGAAUCAUCGAAUCUUUGAACGCACAUUGCGCCCUCUGGUAUUCCAGAGGGCAUGCCUGUUUGAGCGUCAUUUCUCUCUCAAACCCCCGGGUUUGGUAUUGAGUGAUACUCUUAGUCGAACUAGGCGUUUGCUUGAAAAGUAUUGGCAUGGGUAGUACUGGAUAGUGCUGUCGACCUCUCAAUGUAUUAGGUUUAUCCAACUCGUUGAAUGGUGUGGCGGGAUAUUUCUGGUAUUGUUGGCCCGGCCUUACAACAACCAAACAAGUUUGACCUCAAAUCAGGUAGGAAUACCCGCUGAACUUAAGCAUAUCAAAAAGGGGGAAGAAA
rnacentral:rRNA from 1 species